rnacentral:rRNA from 1 species
AAGCUCGUAGUUGAAUUUCGGGGUUAGUAGGUUGGUCAUGCCUCUGGUAUGUACUGGUCUCACUGAUUCCUCCUUCCUUAUGAACCGUAAUGCCAUUAAUUUGGUGUUGCGGGGAAUUUGGACUGUUACUUUGAAAAAAUUAGAGUGUUUAAAGCAAGCUAACGCUUGAAUACAUUAGCAUGGAAUAAUGAAAUAGGACGUUCGAUCUUAUUUUGUUGGUUUCUAGGAUUGACGUAAUGAUUAAUAGGGAUAGUUGG